rnacentral:rRNA from 1 species
AACGAACGCUGGCGGCGUGCCUAACACAUGCAAGUCGAACGUGAUUGGAAGCUUGCUUCCAUGAAAGUGGCGCACGGGUGAGUAACGCGUAGAUAAGCUACCUGAUGAUCCGGGAUAACACCUCGAAAGGGGUGCUAAUACCGGAUAAGCCCACGGGGUCUUAGGAUCUUGCGGGAAAAGGGGGGGACCAUUUGGCCUUCUGUCAUCAGAUGAGUCUGCGUACCAUUAGCUAGUUGGUAGGGUAAAGGCCUACCAAGGCGACGAUGGUUAGCUGGUCUGAGAGGAUGAGCAGCCAACCUGGAACGGAGACACCGUCCAGACUCCUACGGGAGGCAGCAGUGGGGAAGUUUGCGCAAUGGGGGAAACCCUGACGCAGCAACGCCGCGUGAGUGAUGAAGGCCCUUGGGUCGUAAAGCACUGCCAGAGGGAAAGAAAUGCCGGGGUGCUAAUAUCACCCUUGUUUGACGGUACCCUCAAAGGAAGCACCGGCUACCUCCGUGCCAGCAGCCGCCGCCGUAA